ACCACCUGUUUUUCUAACGGUUCACGCAAUCCUUUAUGCUCGCUUUGUAUUGUGAGUUGUCUAAACACUACACAACUCGAAAUAAAUAUGCUGUAAUUUGGAGCAGAAUGACUACAUCGAAUAAUUCAAGGACCUUUCUAUUUAUAUUCAUCAACCACAAAUGAAUUGUUUUGCUCUUACUAAUGAAAUAUGAUAAUCUGCGUCAAAACAACUAAUGCAUGUAGUUUUCCUGCGACUAUUCCACGCGUAUUUACAGGAGGAAGAAAAUGCUCUUUCUAGUGCUGCUGCUCGUUUUUUAUCCUUUUAUUAAUGUGACGGGUAUAAAUUUAACGUACAUCGUCAAAAAAGAAAAAAA